ACUCCUACGGGAGGCAGCAGUAGGGAAUAUUGGUCAAUGGGCGAAAGCCUGAACCAGCCAUCCCGCGUGAAGGACGAAGGGGCUCAGCCUCGUAAACUUCUUUUAUCUGGGAACAAAAAGACAGUCUCUGUCAUAUUGAGGGUACCAGAGGAAUCAGCACCGGCCAACUACGUGCCAGCAGCCGCGGUAAUACGUAGGGUGCCAGCGUUACCCGGAAUCACUGGGUUUAAAGGGUGCGCAGGCGGAUCUGUAAGUCAGAGGUUAAAGAUUCCCGCUUAACGGGAAAACAGCCUUUGAUACUGCGGGUCUUGAGAGCGGUUGAGGUACGCGGAAUGAAUGGUGUAGCGGUGAAAUGCGUAGAGAUCACUCAGAACACCGAUUGCGAAGGCAGCGUACUAAGCCGUUUCUGACGCUCAGGCACGAAAGCGUGGGGAGCAAACAGGAUUAGAUACCCUGGUAGUCCACGCUGUAAACGAUGUUCACUCGAUGCGGCGGAUUUAUCUGCCGUGUCCCAGCGAAAGCGUUAAGUGAACCACCUGGGAAGUACGCCCGCAAGGGUGAAACUUAAAGGAAUUGACG
rnacentral:rRNA from 1 species